UACGAAGGGGGCUAGCGUUGCUCGGAAUCAUUGGGCGUAAAGGGCGCGUAGGUGGUUCUGUAUGUCUACCGUGAAAGCGUACGGCUCAACCGUAUUUUGUCGGUGGAAACUGCAGGACUUGAGGCUGGGAGGGGCUGGUGGAAUUCCCUGUGUAGCGGUGAAAUGCGUAGAGAUGGGGGAGAACACUCGUGGCGAAGGCGGCCAGCUAGACCAGUUCUGACACUGAGGCGCGACAGCGUGGGGAGCAAACAGG
rnacentral:rRNA from 1 species